GUUAAAAAGCUCGUAGUUGAAUUUCGGAAUCAAUAUGUCGGUCGUGCCUUCGGUACGUACUGGUAUCAUUGGUUUCUCCUUUCUGACGAACCAUGAUGUCAUUAAUUUGGUGUUAUGGGGAGUUAGGACUGUUACUUUGAAAAAAUUAGAGUGUUUAAAGCAAGCUAACGCUUGAAUACAUUAGCAUGGAAUAAUGAAAUAGGACGUUUGAUCCUAUUUUGUUGGUUUCUAGGAUCGACGUAAUGAUUAAUAGGGAUAGUUGGGGGCAUUAGUAUUCAAUUGUCAGAGGUGAAAUUCUUGGAUUUAUUGAAGACUAACUACUGCGAAAGCAUUUGCCAAGGAUGUUUUCAUUAAUCAAGAACGAAAGUUAGGGGAUCGAAGACGAUCAGAUACCGUCGUAGUCUUAACCAUAAACUAUGCCGACUAGGGAUCGGAUGAUGUUAAU
rnacentral:rRNA from 1 species